UGAAAUGCCCGUCUGAAGACAAGAAUCCUGGCUCAAGUGCUUGGCAAUCAAGUGGCGUUUCUCCUCACCUGGUCUCGCCCAGUUCCGAUAUUUCGCCCUGCAACAGUCAAAAAUCUCCCUCACCAGAAUUGAUGUUGACUGAUGCACACCUUCAACCCAGUCCAAAGAAGUAUCAUCUUUUCGAUUGCCCACAAUGGCUUGAUUUCCCAAAACAGGAUUCGUUUGCUGAUGUGGCCAGGACCCCAGCCGAAUGGCUGCAAACAAGGUCCGGCCUGUGCAGGACCGAGCCCUGCAGAAACGAUCCAGCUGCGUGGGCCAGCUGGAUGCUUGGACAACAUCAGCCGGCUGACAGCGAUGACCAGUUCGUCCGGAAACAGAAAAACCUCGGCGCCGAAAUCGCCGGUGCGCUAUCACAGCCGGUGACGAGCAAGGAGCUGCAGGUCAUCUCGGGAAUGGCGCUGAAGCGGCCGACCGGCGCCGAGCGCCAGCUACUGCGAGCUGUGCAGGCGGCUGAGGUUCGUCAGCUGUGGCAGCCGCCGGACGGAG